rnacentral:rRNA from 1 species
CGCGUAGGUGGUUUGGUCAGUCAGAUGUGAAAGCCCUGGGCUUAACCUGGGAAUUGCAUUUGAUACUGCCAGACUAGAGUAUGGUAGAGGGAAGUGGAAUUCCGGGUGUAGCGGUGAAAUGCGUAGAUAUCCGGAGGAACAUCAGUGGCGAAGGCGGCUUCCUGGACCAAUACUGACACUGAGGUGCGAGAGCGUGGGUAGCAAACA